rnacentral:rRNA from 1 species
CUUCUGGGGACCGGGAACCAGGGAGGGAUCAUUAC